GUUAUGAGUGUUUGUUUCUCAACUUUGAGGGGGGCUUUUGAUAUAUAUCACCGGCAUCAUUGAGGAAAGGAAAAAAAUUAUCAACGAUACCGUUAAUUGACACAUUUGACACAUUAUUAAUAGCAUAACCUGG